AGAGUUUGAUCCUGGCUCAGGAUGAACGCUAGCUACAGGCUUAACACAUGCAAGUCGAGGGGCAGCAUGAAAGGAACUUCGGUUCUUUUUGAUGGCGACCGGCGCACGGGUGCGUAACGCGUAUCGAACCUGCCUCAUACUCGGGGAUAGCCUUGCGAAAGUAAGAUUAAUACCCGGCGGUCUCGGAUGGCCGCAUGACUGUCCGAGUGAAGAUUUAUCGGUAUGAGAUGGCGAUGCGUCCCAUUAGCUAGUUGGUGAGGUAAUGGCUCACCAAGGCAUCGAUGGGUAGGGGUUCUGAGAGGAAGGUCCCCCACAUUGGAACUGAGACACGGUCCAAACUCCUACGGGAGGCAGCAGUGAGGAAUAUUGGUCAAUGGACGAAAGUCUGAACCAGCCAAGUAGCGUGCAGGAAGACGGCCCUCUGGGUUGUAAACUGCUUUUAGUUGGGAAUAAAAAGAGGGACGUGUCCCUUAUUGUAUGUACCAUCAGAAAAAGGACCGGCUAAUUCCGUGCCAGCAGCCGCGGUAAUACGGAAGGUCCAGGCGUUAUCCGGAUUUAUUGGGUUUAAAGGGAGCGCAGGCGGCGGCGUAAGUCAGUUGUGAAAUCGUGCGGCUUAACCGUGCAAUUGCAGUUGAUACUGCGUCGCUUGAGUGCACACAGGGAUGUUGGAAUUCAUGGUGUAGCGGUGAAAUGCUUAGAUAUCAUGAAGAACUCCGAUCGCGAAGGCAUAUGUCCGGAGUGCAACUGACGCUGAGGCUCGAAAGUGUGGGUAUCAAACAGGAUUAGAUACCCUGGUAGUCCACACAGUAAACGAUGAAUACUCGCGGUUGGCUCGUUAGAAUCAGCCGCCAAGCGAAAGCGUUAAGUAUUCCACCUGGGGAGUACGCCGGCAACGGUGAAACUCAAAGGAAUUGACGGGGGCCCGCACAAGCGGAGGAACAUGUGGUUUAAUUCGAUGAUACGCGAGGAACCUUACCCGGGCUUGAACUGCCAGUGACUCAUGCAGAGACGCAUGUUUCUUCGGACACUGGCGGAGGUGCUGCAUGGUUGUCGUCAGCUCGUGCCGUGAGGGGUC
rnacentral:rRNA from 1 species